AAGUCAUUACACUGCAUCCACAGAGCAGCCUCUGUUUGACUCCUCAGCUCCUGUUUAACCACUUCCCUCCAAACAGCAGCACAGGCAGUGACAAGCCAUUUGAUCCAGUGGUGCUGAGAGUCUUCAUGCAGAGCACACGCCGAGCAGCGCGGAGAGGACGCGGCCAGAGCCGCAGCUCUGCUCGUGUGAUCCAACACCGAGGAGACCUCGGCAGUGCCAGGAAUAUCUCCAAGUUUGUUCGUGAGAGAACGCUCUGCCCCAGCGCAGCCGAGCCCAAAAUGCAGCGGGGGAAGCGAGCACAGAGGUCAAAAUCCUCCGGCAGGGGGAUAAAUAAACCAGCCUGGAGCUGAGCUCCCCGCAUCACCUUCCAUGGAUACACGGCGGGGAGCUCCCCGCAUCACCUUCCAUGGAUACACGGCGGAGCUCCCCGCAUCACCUGCCAUGGAUACACAGCGGAGCUCCCCGCAUCACCUUCCAUGGAUUCACAGCGGAGCUCCCCGCAUCACCUGCCAUGGAUACACGGCGGAGCUCCCCGCAUCACCUGCCAUGGAUACAGGGAGGCAGCGGCGCGCCUCCUCACCUGCAGAGCGGCAGGGUUUGCUGGAGAUGGGAGCACAAAGCGGAGGCGAGGGGAGCAGCUGAUGCCCCUGAAGCGCUGCUGUGGCGGCGGUGGCAGCGCACAAAGGAGCGGAGCGGAGCGGGCAGGGCUGGCAGCGCUCGGAGCAGCGCCGGGCCCGGCUCGGCCGCGGUGCGAUGCUGCCGCACACGCGGGCCUGCAGCUGAUAACGCUGUAAUAGUCCUCCUUUGAGGACCGGGGCUCCUGUGUGCUGAUUACCCAUUUAUCACACCUGGCAGCCCUGCUGAACUAUAAUUACUCUUCUCUUAUCCUGCCGCACUGUCAUGUCCGAGAGGAGAAGAGAGGCAAAGGCUCCUGCUAAUGACACAUUACCCUCUUGACAAGCACUUGAAGGUUUUAUUGUAAAUAUUCAAGAUAUAAAACAUCUGAGAUUCCCUUUUUAAUUAUAAAAAGCAAUUUUCCGUGGCUCCCGUUCGCCCCCUCCGCCGCCACCAAUGGUAAAGUUUAGGCGCCGUUAUCCUUCGCUUCCUGCAAACAAACCCGGCUCCUUUGUCAUCAUAACCCAUUGCUGGGAGGGAACUCCACUAUCUCAGGGAAAUUAUCAAAUGUAACGCCUGGAAAAUGUGCCUUUUGAACACGUUUCGCUAUCCUACAAAAGUUACAUUGCUGCCCCCCCCCAAAAAAGGGGGAAAUGUGCAUUUAUAUUAAGAAAUUAGGAAGAGGAGGAAGGAGAGAAAAAGUCCUGAGCAAAUGGGUGGUGAAUGAGUCUUUCAUUGGGUGGCUCUUGGGAGAUGUGCCUCUUAUUGAGAGGAAAGGUCUUGCAUAAACUAAAAAUUAAAGAUAUGUGAGGUGCUGUGGUACAUCCAGCCUAUUUAUUGGUCUCCAGAUGGAGGGCUCUGAAGCCAAAGACUUAUUCUCCCUUGCUUUCACUAUCAGCUGUGAGCCAAAAAAUUCCCCAAAAGAAUAGGGAAUCCUAAACACUGUGAUGCGGAGAACUAAAAACCUGAACAAUCUUUAACUGAGAUACACAAGACAGUCAUUAAUACUCCAGCCCCUACAAUGAUGGUACCAAGCAUUAUUACAUGUUAUAUAUGUUCAUUCCUACACCCAUAAUGGCAUACAGUGCUCUAGCAAAAAACUACAGCAGAAUUCCUGGAAAUCUAGGAAUUUGCCUAACCUAUAGUUUGUCAUCCUAGAAACUCGAUACCUAGACUGAUUUCACUCUCAGCUAGAAACAUGAACAGACAGGAAAAAAGCUAUAGGAAAAAUUAAGCUGAAAAUGGAAAUUAAUCCAUUCAAGUGCAUCCACAAGUCCACCAAGAAAACCAAAUUUCAAUGUGUCUUAAAGACAAGGAGUCUUUAAGCAUUUCAGAGGGAUCUGAUUGAAGUCAGGACGCUGUGCAAAAGGAAUCCAUGGACAGCUCAUCCCAAACCUUCUCAUUACACUUCUUUGUAGCAGCAGUCUGCUCAUACUUGGCUUAUUUACUGAUCUUCCUUGAAUUCUAAGAGUUGCCCACAGUGAGAGGAAAGAUGAUGUGACAGAUACAGGAACUGUCCAUUAGAAAUUGGUGUCCUGGGUCCUUGCCUAGUUUGCUUAACAAGUGUAAUGGCUGUGACCCACCCUGACAAGAUCAGAUGUGGGUUCCUUGUGAGGAGCCCAGCACCACCUCAGUGAUGGCUGGGCAGCAGCCACGUGCUGCUGUGGGAAUUGCAAACAUUUAAUGAACAUAAACGUCCUACCAAACAGGCACACACGAGGAUGGAAAACAGCAGCAAUAAAAGUCCCUCAGUCUCACACCUAACAACUCAAGGCUAUGCUUGGAACAUGCACAUGACUUAAAACAAUGGAUACAGCAGCUAUUUUCUAACAGAUCACAUGGAUUUGUAUAUACAACUGACUGCUCUAUAAAAUACAUUGAGAUAAUUAGAUAAAAGUUAUUUGGUGCUAUUAGAGGUGAAUGAUUCAAACUAAUAUUAGACUACAAAUUACUGAACCCCCAAAUGCCCAAUCUUGGUGUCCUGUGGUUCCUACUUUGGGGUGAAACAGUCAUUAGCACUUCACACGCUCUUAAUAAAAGAAAUUGCAGCAGUCAGGCUUAAAAUGACCAUUUUCUCCAUCUAUUUAAAAGGAUUUGAGGUUCCUAGACUGAAAUAUUAACAGCCUUGCUGAACCAGAAUUAUUCUGCUUCUCUCGCUUUCUGCCUGCUUCUGUCAGAAAGCCACGGAGCAUAGAAUGGCAGCGCACAGCUAACCAGAUAAUUGAUAUCUCCCCAGCCUAUUCACGGUGGGAAUCUGUCAGUUAGAGUCUAAAGACACAUACACACACUAUGAAAAUGAACUUACAUAAGUCUUCCUGUGAACCGAAUGCAGCCAACAUUUUGAUGUUUAAUUGGCUGGGUUCGGUUUACCAGCGCACACGUGUAUUCCAGGGGCUGCGCGCCGCACUCCGGCUCCUCCUGACAGAUCUAUUUAGUCGGGAGGAGGUGUAUUUUCCCAAGGUAAUUGCUCAGAAUCAUGCUUCCAAAGCCAAACUGAUUCAAACUUUGCUUAUUCACUCCUUGCAGACACACGGGUAGGACUAUUUGAAAGCAAAUGAAAAAUCCAUAGAUCAAUGUAUGGAGCCUUCCCCACACAGUGCCACAGAGGGAGUCUAUUUCAAACAGGGCUGGUUGUCAGCAGCAGUUACUGCCAGCAUCUUUUUAAAUAUACAUCUUUCAGAGCAAUGCAGGUCUUUGAGAUAAUGAAAGAUUUGCAACUACUAUAUUAUCCACCGAGAAGAAAUACACCGACUCAAAUUGGGCACACUCCCACACGUAGGUCCUUGCUAAGUAUGAGGAAAAAAUAAUUGACAGUUAUUCAACUAUUUGUGAAUAUUUUUUUACCUAGACUUAUUCCCCUAAUUAAUAGGGCUUGUCUGAUAAAGUGUGAUUUUUAGAGACUUUUUCCUAUGGACUUAGUGGCUCGAUGUGAAAGCAUUUGGAAAUAAUUUCCUUUCACCUGACAUGGCAUACACAAUCCCAAAUUCCUCAUUUUACACCUCUUUGGCUUCAAAUCAACAACUUAAAAAAGGCUUAGACUGUCUCAUAUAUGUCACAAAGACUAGGGAUAAAACUCAUGUUUUACUUUUCUGCACAGCAGAAUGGGUUCUAGGUCUUUCUAUUGCUGAACCAAAUAUCUACUCAGCAUUUCCUAAAGUUUCUCAUCAAUUUAGAUAAUCAAGACAUAUUUGACUUUCUUUUCUCUCUCUUCCCUCAGGACUGUAACAAAAUGGAAUGAUUUCCAGAGAUGUUGGUCUCAUUCUGAGUCCAAAACACAGCACUGUAACAGCUACUGGAAGAAAGGAACACUAUGAUAGCUGAAAGCAGCAAGCCAUGACUCAAAAUCAUUUUGAUAGAGAGGCUUUACACUCGUGCUACUCAAGGAAGGACAGGAAAUUACAGGAAAUUUUAAUCACAGGGGGAGGUAAAAAACAUCAGCACCCUUCCUAGUGCUGGCCAGGGUGGGCUUGCACUCCUGGGUUACACAGGGUGUUUGCACCACAACAUCCAUGAGCAGUUUCCUCCCCCACAGGUUGGAUCAGGACAGCAUUCCCACUGUGCUGGCAAUGCCUUUGGUAACUGGCAGCUUUGAGAGGCAGUAAAACUUGGACAGGGAACACCUGCAACUGUGCUGGGGAAAGGAAACACAAGCUCUUCUGCAUGCCCUGGGUUGCAAUCCUUCAUGGUUUCUUGGUUGUAGAUGGUACUGUCAAAUUUUCCCACCAUACCCUAUCAACCUGUCUUGAUUCACCCAGGAUUUAAAAAGAUGACACUGUGACACAUCUGGAGGAAGAGCUAUAGGGACUAUAGGGAAUGAUCAGCUCCCUGCUCCCAGAACUGAAGCACUUCUUCCUGACACCACUCCCAGAGUGUCCCUUCAAGCCCUUCCUUUUCCAAGACAAUUACACAAAGGACUGAGUGUCACUCACAGCUUCCCUCCUCCAUCUCCUGGACCACAACACACCUCAGAACCUGCAGGGCCUGCUGACAGUCCAGGUAAACACAGGAGUAUGUUUCCAAUUUAUGUCUCUUUAUUUUGUCUCUUCUGAAAAUACAAGCUAAUGGAAAAAUAUUUUUACACGUUAUUAAGGCACAUUAAUGAUAAAACUAGUGAGCAUUAGUUCCAGAAGGGCACAUUUUCUGUAAUGAUGAAGAACGAUGUAUAAAUUAACAUUACAGAGCUCCACAGGUCCGUUUCUGAGCCAACCAUGAUUAAAUUAACUACAAAAAGAUACUUGACACAACCAGUGCCACACUUGACUGAAUUUGGGAGUCAUGUAGGGAUCUUACUGAAAACCAGGAUGCUAAAUAAAUCCAUCUUACAAUAGU